UACGGGGGGGGCAAGCGUUGUUCGGAAUUACUGGGCGUAAAGGGCUCGUAGGUGGCCAACUAAGUCACACGUGAAAUCCCUCGGCUUAACCGGGGAACUGCGUGUGAUACUGGAUGGCUUGAGUUUGGGAGAGGGAUGCGGAAUUCCAGGUGUAGCGGUGAAAUGCGUAGAUAUCUGGAGGAACACCCGUAGCGAAGGCGGCACUCUGGGCCGAUUCUGACACUGAGGAGCGAAAGCGUGGGGAGCGAACAGG
rnacentral:rRNA from 1 species